AUCUGUUCUUAUCAGUUUAAUAUCUGAUACGCCCUCUAUAUGAGGACUACAUAUUAAAUGGAUUUUUAGAACAGGGAGCCAGAACAGGAGCUUGCUCCUUCUGCUCCACGCAUCGACCUGGAAGAAACGACUGGGUCGUUGG
ensembl:snRNA U2 U2 spliceosomal RNA